UAAACCAAAUGGGAUUCCUUAAGUAAUUGCGAAUGAACAAGGACAUGCUUAGCUUGACAAUUGGAGCCUCUGGCUUCGACUUGUAUUUUUGAAAUGUAUUACCAACAGAGGUGCAGGUGUCAGCCUAUUGAAAGAAAGCGUCAAUGAGGGUGAGAAUCCUGUUUGUCAUGUGCAAUCCUCUGUGCACGGUGUAUGUUUGCUGAGUCACACUCCUUGGCAUUGGAAUGCAAAGUGGGUGGUAAGUUUCAUGUAAAGGUAAAUAUAGGAUUGAGACUGAUAGCACACAAGUACCAUGAGGGAAAUAUGAAAAGGACUUUGAAAAGAGAAUUAAAUGAGUUUGUAUUUGCUGAACAGAAAAUAAACAGAUUUGAUGUUGCUUGGUGAGAUUGUGGUGCUUGCUUGACAAUAGGUUUUGAUUGUGGGUGCGAUGAUUCUUGCUUUGCUUGCCAGUUUCUAUUUGUACAUUUGAUUACCCUUGCACAUGAAUGGUAAUUUUCCUGCGGGGUUUGGAUUGCAUGUGUUUGUGAUGAUUUGUGUUUUGAUGCAUGUGUCUGGUGCUUUUGUAAUUGCUCAUUUCUUGAAGCUGGGCCUACCCUACUAGAGCUUACAAGCCCUGGCACACAAUUGCUGGCAAAAUGCUUCUGCUUGACCCGUCUUGAAACACGGACCAAGGAGUCUAACA
rnacentral:rRNA from 1 species